GACCUCGGAUCAGGUAGGAAUACCCGCUGAACUUAAGCAUAUCAAUAAGCGGAGGAAAAGAAACCAACAGGGAUUACCCUAGUAACGGCGAGUGAAGCGGUAACAGCUCAAAUUUGAAAUCUGGCCUUUACAGGUCCGAGUUGUAAUUUGUAGAGGAUGUUUCGGGCAAGGCCGCGGUUUAAGUUUCUUGGAACAGAACGUCAUAGAGGGUGAGAAUCCCGUCUAGAACCGAUGGCCGCGUCCAUGUGAAACUCCUUCGACGAGUCGAGUUGUUUGGGAAUGCAGCUCAAAAUGGGUGGUAAAUUUCAUCUAAAGCUAAAUAUUGGCCAGAGACCGAUAGCGCACAAGUAGAGUGAUCGAAAGAUGAAAAGCACUUUGAAAAGAGAGUUAAACAGUAUGUGAAAUUGUUGAAAGGGAAGCGC
rnacentral:rRNA from 1 species